GGCUCAGAGGGUAAAGAAUCUGCCUGCAAUGCAGGAAAUCCAGGUUCGAUCCCUGGGUCA
rnacentral:tRNA from 1 species